rnacentral:rRNA from 1 species
CCUACGGGGGGCAGCAGUGAGGAAUAUUGGGCAAUGGGAGAGAUCCUGAACCAGCCAAGCCGCGUGAGGGAAGACGGCCCUAUGGGUUGUAAACCUCGUUUGUCGGAGAACAAGACCCGGGUCGUGUCCCGGACUGCGUGUAUCCGAAGAAAAAGCAUCGGCUAACUCCGUGCCAGCAGCCGCGGUAAUACGGAGGAUGCGAGCGUUAUCCGGAUUUGUUGGGUUGAAAGGGUGCGUAGCCGGUACGUUAAGUCAGCGGUAAAAGUGCGGGGCUCAACCCCGUAGAGCCGUUGAAAAUGGCAGACUUGAGUUGGCGAGAAGUACGCGGAAUGUGCGGUGUAGCGGGGAAAUGCCGAGAUAUCGCGCAGAACUCCGAUUGCGAAGGCAGCGUACCGGCGCCAGACUGACGCGGAGGCAGGAAAGCGUGGGGAUCGAACCGGAUUAGAUACCCGAGUAGUC